CAUCCGCAAGUGCAAGUGACGCUUGAAAUGUAGUAGAAAAAUGUUGAUAAUUAAAAUUGUACCAUAUUAAAGGGAGUAAAUUAAAGAAAAACAAGAAAAUAACUGAAUUUAAAGUUAUUUGAAGAAAUGUAAUGGCAAUGGAUAUCUUGAGAGCAGAAUAAAAUAUGCGGAUUCAACGCGCACCGCACACGCCUGACAACAACAACAACUAACCACAACAAAAACAGCAAUUGAAGACGCGACCAAAGCGAAGGAAGCACAUGAAAAAGAGGAAGAAGCCGCUGGAGAGAAAGAAGAAGAACUUCCAGUACCAAUCCCAACGCCCAAAAACCCCACACACAUGAUAUUUAAAACGUCGUCUUCCAAAAACCCAACAUCAACCCCAUGGAAAUAUCCUCUUUACUUUCAACUCACAAAGUGCCUGAAAAAAAUCCGCAAAAAAGGAAGAAUAAUGGCCAAAAAUGUUCUGCGUUUUAAUUUGAAAGCCGCGCACACACAAAAAUUGUAACAAUCAGCGCCGCACAAAAAAAAAAUGCCGAAUAAAAUAAAGUGCAGAAAAAAGCAGAGCAAAGUGCAGAAAUAAUGCCGAAAGAGGAGGAAAAUGUGCGGACAACAAUUUGUGGCGAGCGCACAGCUGCCUGCCUCCAGUUGCUCUCAUGUUGCACCUUGCAACUGCAGCAAACCACUGCGGUGGUGCAGUGGUGCGGUAAAGCGGUGGUGCGGGCAAACAACGCCCCACAAACAAUCACUUACAAGCUGCUAAAUUGCAUAAUCACCCAAAAAGGAAUCAACGGCGGCAAGGAGUUGAAAAUGUGGUGCACUGCAAGAAAAUCGUCCUGAAAUGCAGGAUCGAUUUGAUUGUCUAUAUCAUUUUUUACUCAAAAUAAGGCCUAAUGAGUUUAAAACGUUUUCUUCGGAGCGGUGUAACUUCGGGACAAGCGAAACGCGUUUAGAUAUUUCAAUGGAAUAAUGGAUUAAAUUAAUAUUUAUAAAUACAGCUGCGAUAAGGUUUGGGCUAAAAUAAUUAGAUUGACAUGAUGCCAUAGCCAAUUAAUUCAUUUUGAAACUAUUAAAUUUUCAAAGUUGAGGUUGCAAAGCAAAACCAUCAAUUUUGGU